UACAGAGGUCCCGAGCGUUGUUCGGAUUCACUGGGCGUAAAGGGUGCGUAGGUGGCGUGGUAAGUUUGAUGUGAAAGCUCAGGGCUUAACCCUGAAAUGGCAUUGAAUACUACCAGGCUGGAGGGUUUGGAGGGGGGACUGGAAUUCUUGGUGUAGCAGUGAAAUGCGUAGAUAUCAAGAGGAACACCAGUGGCGAAGGCGAGUCUCUGGCCUAAUACUGACGCUGAUGCUCGAAAGCUAGGGGAGCAAACGGGG
rnacentral:rRNA from 1 species